UACGUAGGGUGCAAGCGUUAAUCGGAAUUACUGGGCGUAAAGCGUGCGCAGGCGGCUUUGCAAGACAGAUGUGAAAUCCCCGGGCUCAACCUGGGAACUGCAUUUGUGACUGCAUGGCUAGAGUACGGUAGAGGGGAUGGAAUUCCGCGUGUAGCAGUGAAAUGCGUAGAUAUGCGGAGGAACACCGAUGGCGGAAGGCAAUCCCCUGGACCUGUACUGACGCUCAUGCACGAAAGCGUGGGGAGCAAAC
rnacentral:rRNA from 1 species